AUUGAACGCUGGCGGCAGGCCUAACACAUGCAAGUCGAGCGGAUGAAGGGAGCUUGCUCCUGGAUUCAGCGGCGGACGGGUGAGUAAUGCCUAGGAAUCUGCCUGGUAGUGGGGGAUAACGUCCGGAAACGGGCGCUAAUACCGCAUACGUCCUGAGGGAGAAAGUGGGGGAUCUCGGGCCCUACGGUUAUCGGAGAAGCCUAGGUCGGAUUAGCUAGUUGGUGGGGUAAAGGCCUACCAAGGCGACGAUCCGUAACUGGUCUGAGAGGAUGAUCAGUCACACUGGAACUGAGACACGGUCCAGACUCCUACGGGAGGCAGCAGUGGGGAAUAUUGGACAAUGGGCGAAAGCCUGAUCCAGCCAUGCCGCGUGUGUGAAGAAGGUCUUCGGAUUGUAAAGCACUUUAAGUUGGGAGGAAGGGCAGUAAGUUAAUACCUUGCUGUUUUGACGUUACCAACAGAAUAAGCACCGGCUAACUUCGUG
rnacentral:rRNA from 1 species